rnacentral:rRNA from 1 species
AUUGAAUGCUGGCGGCAGGCUUAACGCAUGCAAGUCGAGCGGGGUGAUGGUGCUUGCACUAUCACUUAGCGGCGGACGGGUGAGUAAUGCUUAGGAAUCUGCCUAUUAGUGGGACAACAUCUCGAAAGGGAUGCUAAUACCGCAUACGUCCUACGGGAGAAAGCAGGGGAUCACUUGUGACCUUGCGCUAAUAGAUGAGCCUAAGUCGGAUUAGCUAGUUGGUGGGGUAAAGGCCUACCAAGGCGACGAUCUGUAGCGGGUCUGAGAGGAUGAUCCGCCACACUGGGACUGAGACACGGCCCAGACUCCUACGGGAGGCAGCAGUGGGGAAUAUUGGACAAUGGGGGGAACCCUGAUCCAGCCAUGCCGCGUGUGUGAAGAAGGCCUUAUGGUUGUAAAGCACUUUAAGCGAGGAGGAGGCUCUUUUGGUUAAUACCCAAGAUGAGUGGACGUUACUCGCAGAAUAAGCACCGGCUAACUCUGUGCCAGCCGCCGCCGUAA